rnacentral:rRNA from 1 species
AGAGUUUGAUCCUGGCUCAGGAUGAACGCUGGCGGCGUGCCUAACACAUGCAAGUCGAGCGAUUUACUUCGGUAAAGAGCGGCGGACGGGUGAGUAACGCGUGGGUAACCUGCCCUGUACACACGGAUAACAUACCGAAAGGUAUGCUAAUACGAGAUAAAAUAUUUUUAUCGCAUGGUAGAAAUAUCAAAGCUUUUGCGGUACAGGAUGGACCCGCGUCUGAUUAGCUAGUUGGUAAGGUAACGGCUUACCAAGGCGACGAUCAGUAGCCGACCUGAGAGGGUGAUCGGCCACAUUGGAACUGAGACACGGUCCAAACUCCUACGGGAGGCAGCAGUGGGGAAUAUUGCACAAUGGGCGAAAGCCUGAUGCAGCAACGCCGCGUGAGCGAUGAAGGCCUUCGGGUCGUAAAGCUCUGUCCUCAAGGAAGAUAAUGACGGUACUUGAGGAGGAAGCCCCGGCUAACUACGUGCCAGCAGCCGCGGUAAUACGUAGGGGGCUAGCGUUAUCCGGAAUUACUGGGCGUAAAGGGUGCGUAGGUGGUUUCUUAAGUCAGAGGUGAAAGGCUACGGCUCAACCGUAGUAAGCCUUUGAAACUGGGAAACUUGAGUGCAGGAGAGGAGAGUGGAAUUCCUAGUGUAGCGGUGAAAUGCGUAGAUAUUAGGAGGAACACCAGUUGCGAAGGCGGCUCUCUGGACUGUAACUGACACUGAGGCACGAAAGCGUGGGGAGCAAACAGGAUUAGAUACCCUGGUAGUCCACGCCGUAAACGAUGAGUACUAGCUGUCGGAGGUUACCCCCUUCGGUGGCGCAGCUAACGCAUUAAGUACUCCGCCUGGGAAGUACACUCGCAAGAGUGAAACUCAAAGGAAUUGACGG